GAAGGACCCCAGGGAAGGACAGCGCCAGCCAAGGCCCACAAGCCAAGCUGUGUGUGGGAGGUCGUGGGGUGGGGGCAGUCGAGAAGGGCCUGCUCCCGGGCCACCACCCACCCCACCACUGCUGGGGUGUCCCCAGCACCACCGUCCUGUCUUCUCACAGGAACAGCGGACGGAGGUCAAAGGCUGCCUGCCACCUACCAGGGGACAGAGACCCAUGUGCUGGAAAUACUCGCUCCCUGGAUUUUUGACUUCACACCCGUGUGCGCGGUGCGAACCCAAGCGCAUCAGCUGCCGGCUGGCUCAUUAGGCCUCAGGGAGGCACAUACCCCUCACCCACCAGCGUCAACCUCCAGAGCCCGCGUGGCAGAGUCGACUCUCAACAGCCUCCCGCGGAGUGAACCCAGGAGCGGUUCCCCCUGGGCAGAUGACUACGUGCUCCAGCCAGGGGCUCCCUGACAGCUGCCCGCUGAAUUUGUCCAAAGCCAGCUGUCAUAGGGCAUCAUGUCACCGUGAGAGGCCUGGGGGUGAAGGCCCUGGACGGAGAUUUGGGGGAGUCACCCUGAAGCCUGCAGUGUGAGCCCUGCAGACACAGGCAGCAGUGUCCUGCCAUGGGAGCUGUUUGGAGCUGUGGGGCUGCCUGUGUCCCUCGCUGUCCCCUCUUGAGCCAGGUCCCAUGUCUCCUCCCAAGAGCAGGCAGGAGGCAGGGCUGGCUCCUUCCAAAGCCCACCAGUGGCCUGGGAUGGAAGAGGCCCGCCCCAGCCCAGGAGGACGCUGGGCACACCCAGGGUGGCCAGGAUGCUGGACGUCCUGGGAGCCUAGAGGGAGAGGGUGGAGGGAGUAGGCGGAAGGUGGCUGCUGAGCCGGCGGCUCUGGCACUGCCCGGGCAGGGAGAGGAGGGUUUGGCGAGCACAGCCCUCGCCCUCCAGCCCCCGGGAGGGAGUCGGCAGCCCCUCUUCCACAGCUGGGCAUGGAGGCUCAGCAAGAGAGGGGCUGCCCCAGGGGACACACCAGGGGCCUGGGGCCCUCCUGACCUCUCCUGGUCCCUCUCUCAGCAGCUUCUGUUUCUGAGCAGGGCUCUGAGGGAGUGGGGGGUGGGCUCCGCUCAGGACCCAAGAUGUGCCCUGGCAGGGACCAGGCAGGGCACCUGUUCCUCCCUGCGGUGGCAGACACAGGGCCCAGGGUGGGGAUGGCUGGCCCAAGGGCCUGGACUUGGCACCACGGAAGGACCUUUCCUGGAAGCCACAGAGGCUCAGGGACACAGAGGCAGUUCUGGAAGCCAGGGCAUCUCCAAACAGCCAUGGUGCCAGCUGCCCCUGAUGGGUGGAGAGGAGGUGGUAUGUAGGGAUCCUCCAGGGCCCGGCCUCCUCUGGCCCAUUAUGUCGGGGAGCCAGGAGGUGAUCUCAUCCAGAGCAGUGGGCUCGGAGUUGUGUUGAUUCCAAAGAAGAUCAUAGUGGGACUUUUUCCGGUGCUGCUGGGGGUGGAACCCAGGGCCUCCUGCAUGCCAGGCCAGUGUGGUGCCACUGAGCUGUGCUGGGCCCUGCUGGGCAUCCUGGUGACAUCUGCCUGCCGUUCCCAUAGCUCUUCCCUCCUGGUUCUCAUUCAACAACCUGCUCAGUGUUUAGAGUUCCCCACACCCACAGAGGGCCAGCGUCCACCAGCUCUGGGCUGGACACCGCCUUAAGGCCUGUGCCCCAACUGGCCGAAACCCACCCAGUCUCAACAGCUCUCGGGCGUCUUGCUCAGAAUGCUGGGCAGUCAGGCUUGCUGUCUCUGGGCGUGUGUAGGACACACAAGGAUCCCCCCCGACAGAUGUUGGAACCAUCUGGCCGUCACGGGAGAGUGGGCAGAAGGACGAAGCUCAUAGCAACGCUGGGCGGAGCCGGGAGGACUGCUGGAAACGCAGCUGGAGCCUGAUCCAGCCUCACCUGCUGCCCGCAUCCUUGACGUUGCCAGGGAAUCAACCUCGCUAUUCUGUUGACGGCCAGCUUGAGUCGGGGUGUGCGGCGCUUGGCUUUGAAGGACACUAGUGGUUGGCGUAGACAUGAGUCUGAGAGCCAGCUCCAGGUCUGGAAUCCACCCCCAUCUCUGAACCUCGUUUCCCAUCUGGAGACAACGACCAACCUCCGUGCUCCACAGGGCUGUCCAGAGACUGGUGACAUGAGUGGCACCACUAACACAGAGCUUGGCACCUAGUGCUGUCCCAAGAACUGCAUGCUCCAUGACUCUCGCCCCUGGGGUUCAGGCCAUCCUGCUUCUGGGCUUCCAAGGGGAGCCCCCGAAACCUUGCCCUGGGCCGGUUAUCAUGGCCACUGGGACUGGGGGAGGGAGGCUCUCUGAUUAUGGUCAUUAGGGCCACCACCCUGGGAGUCUGGUCACGGCACCUGGGCCAACCUUUAGACCUGCCUUGGGUCGGCCAAGCAGCCCCAAAUAGUUGCUUUGCCAAGUUUUUGACAAGAAGUCUAUUUCAGGCCCAGGGAGGAGGACGGUGUGACCUGCCCUGUGGACAGACACGCCCACGAGCUCUGGCCCCACAGCCAUGGCUGCUGCUCAAGGAGGCCCGGCCAGUCCCCAUGGGGCUACUACUCUGAACCUUCUCUCUCCGUCAUAAAACCAGCACCGUCCUCGGCAAAGCCCGACCCACUGCACCUUAUGGUGAGGAGAGGGCUCCCCUCACCUUCCAGGGCCCCUCAGCCGACCCUGCAGGUGCCCUCUUCCAGGGGCAUUUGAUGUCCCCCCGUGCACACACUUCCUUACCAGGUGGCCCCUCCCACGUGGACCCUCCUGCAGUCUGACUUUUAAACGGCUUUACUAGCCUGUAUUUUGUACCAGGAGACUCACCCUUCAUAGGGUGGGGUCCACGAGCUCUCAGUGUGAUGGAGUUUUGUGGCCAUCGCUGCCGGGGUCUGGCUGGGGGAGCCCCCGGGGGCCUGGGGUGUCCAGGCUGGAGUGCUUGGAGAUGAUGAGGGCCUCCUGAGAGCCGCGGCCGCCUCGCCGUCCGGGGGUGAAGGCACCAGGUGCUACCGUGGGUCAGUGGAGGUGGCCACAGGGCCCUGCCCACAGCCACUUCCCCUCUCCCUCUGCUCCCUGGCUGUGCCCUGGGAAGGGCUUCCUCCACCAUCCUCCAUGAUUCUGGGCCUCACCUUGGCCAGAGCGUGAGACUGGUUGACCUGGGAGGGACAGAACCUCUGAAACCAGGAGCCCAGACACUUCUUCGAGAUGCUCCCGACAGGCGUCGUGGUCCCCGUGGUGAGAAGCCAAAGGGCACCCCAGCCUCACAUGUUACACUUGCGUGCCCAGCCCCUCCACCCACCCCAGGCAGCCGCUCACUUGCUUCCUGUCCCCACAGACCUCCCUUGGGACCUUGCAUGUAGGUGGCUCACAGGUACGUGACCCCUGGUGACUGGCUUCCUUGACUCAGCAUGACGGGUUCCAGGCCCCACCUGCUGCCACGCAUGUCGAUGCUUUCUCUUCAUGACCAAGUAAUAUUCCCGUGUGUGGAGACCACGUUUUGUUAUCAUCCUCAGCUGGUGGACACUUGGGUCUUGCUCUGUGGCUGUGAUGAAUAAAGCUGCU